CCUACGGGAGACAGCAGUGGGGACUAUUGCGCAAUGGGCGAAAGCCUGACGCAGCGACGCCGCGUGAGGGAUGAAGGUCUUCGGAUCGUAAACCUCUGUCAGCAGGGAAGAACGGUCACUGUGCUAAUCAGCAGUGAAUUGACGGUACCUGCAAAGGAAGCACCGGCUAACUCCGUGCCAGCAGCCGCGGUAAUACGGAGGGUGCGAGCGUUAAUCGGAAUUACUGGGCGUAAAGCGCUCGUAGGCGGUAUGUCAAGUCAAGGGGGAAAUCCCCGCGCUCAACGUGGGAACUGCCUUUGAAACUGGCAAACUGGAGUGUGUGAGAGGAUAGUGGAAUUCCAGGGGUAGGAGGGAAAUCCGUAGAUAUCUGGAGGAACAUCAGUGGCGAAGGCGACUAUCUGGCACAUAACUGACGCUGAGGAGCGAAAGCGUGGGUAGCAAACAGGAUUAGAUACCCCUGUAGUC
rnacentral:rRNA from 1 species